rnacentral:rRNA from 1 species
UUCCAGUAGGGAAGGAAGCGGAAAGCGANNGGUCCCUUGCAGAAGGAAGUCACCNGGNUAACUUACGUGGCCAGCAGGCCGCGGUAAUUACGUAGGGGUACUAGCGUUGUCCCGGAAUUAUUGGGCGUAAAAGAGCUCGUAGGUGGUUUGUCGCGUCUGCUGUGGAAACGUGCCGNNUAACGGUGCGCGUGCAGUGGGUACGGGCGGACUAGAGUGCAGUAGGGGAGUCUGGAAUUCCUGGUGUAGCGGUGAAAUGCGCAGAUAUCAGGAGGAACACCGGUGGCGAAGGCGGGACUCUGGGCUGUUACUGACGCUGAGGAGCGAAAGCAUGGGGAGCGAACAGGAUUAGAUACCCUGGUAGUCCAUGCCGUAAACGUUGGGCACUAGGUGUGGGGUCCAUUCCACGGAUUCUGCGCCGUAGCUAACGCAUUAAGUGCCCCGCCUGGGGAGUACGGCCGCAAGGCUAAAACUCAAAGGAAUUGACGGGGGCCCGCACAAGCGGCGGAGCAUGCGGAUUAAUUCGAUGCAACGCGAAGAACCUUACCAAGGCUUGACAUGCACUGGAUCGCUGCAGAGAUGUGGUUUUCUUUUUGACUGGUGUACAGGUGGUGCAUGGUUGUCGUCAGCUCGUGUCGUGAGAUGUUGGGUUAAGUCCCGCAACGAGCGCAACCCUCGUUCUAUGUUGCCAGCACGUGAUGGUGGGAACUCAUGGGAGACUGCCGGGGUCAACUCGGAGGAAGGUGGGGAUGACGUCAAAUCAUCAUGCCCUUUAUGUCUUGGGCUUCACGCAUGCUACAAUGGCCGGUACAGAGGGUGGCGAUACCGUGAGGUGGAGCGAAUCUCUUAAAGCCGGUCUCAGUUCGGAUCGUAGUCUGCAACUCGACUACGUGAAGUCGGAGUCGCUAGUAAUCGCAGAUCAGCAAUGCUGCGGUGAAUACGUUCCCGGGCCUUGUACACACCGCCCGUCAAGUCACGAAAGUCGGUAACACCCGAAGCCGGUGGCCUAACCCUGUGG